AGACCUUUUUCGCAGAUACAAGCAAGGUUAUACUUAGGAAUUAUUGCACGUUUUAAGCUAGCAAGUUCGUUGUGGUGCUACUGGGAAUUGCUUUUAUGGUGCUUCUAAAUCUAAUAAUUUCAUUGAUGGUAUGAGUCUGUAUAACAAGUUAUGAUCCUUUUCAUGUGUUUUUACAAGCGUGUUGUGCUAGAAUUUUAUGUUCUGAUUUGAGCAUGGAAAAUUUCAGUAAAGAUAGUGCGGUUGGCACCGAAAGUAGGUUGUUUUUUAUAUGAAUACAAGUGACUUUUGAGGAGCGUUUUCAGGGUUCCUGUCCUUCUUUUGUCCCAUCCACCGCAGUGGUUUGACAAAAAUACACGCUCUGAGAUUCCAUUUCAAUGACACGAAUUAAAGAGUGUGGAGAGAGCUGUCUGUCUCUAAACAUUUCAGGAGAAACAAUAACAAUCCGCAAAGCAUUGGAAGGUACGUAGACAAGGCCAGGGAUCAGUACAGCCUUGAAUUGAAUUGGAUUGGAAUGUGUUUGGAUUCAAUUCAAAAUCUGUCAUGGUCAAUGGUUUAAGAGCCUUAAUCACCCCGGAUUUCGAUUCUCUCCUUUCCUUUCAACCUUAAGUCAACAGUUUGAAUUGGUAGUUCAAUUUCAAUUCCAACAAUCUAUAAUAUGUAUAUAAAAGUAAAAAUAAGGAUGCGAAAUUAUGAAUGAACAAAAGUAUUUUU
rnacentral:misc_RNA from 1 species